UCCCUACGGGGCGCACCAGGCGCGAAACCUCCGCAAUGCGAGCAAUCGCGACGGGGGGACCCCAAGUGCCACUCUUAACGGGGUGGCUUUUCAUAAGUGUAAAAAGCUUUUGGAAUAAGAGCUGGGCAAGACCGGUGCCAGCCGCCGCGGUAAUUCA
rnacentral:rRNA from 2 species